GGGGUUCCUUAAGGCACCGUUGUUGAACCUCUUUCAUUUAGUAAUCAUCCAAAAUAUCAUGAGAUUCAAACAUUAAAUUUCACAAAGUUUUAAGGAUUUGACCAUAAAGCAAAUUUUAGAAAGCACCAAUGUUUUUAUUUGUGUUUAUGUGGUUUUAAAACACAAGGAUUUUUUAAUGCAUAUUAAGUUGAUUUCAAAAUGUUAAAAGCUCUAUUCGCUAAUUCAGAUGAGUGAAUGACCAAGUAAGUGCAAAUUAUUUUGUACUUUGCUGCUGUUUAUGUUUAAGGUGCAUUCAUGGUGACAUUCAGUGUAUAGGUGUGCAAAUAUUAAAAUCAUAAACGGAAGACUUCCUAUAGGAAGAGAGCAGCAAUCAAUAUAAAGUUUUUCUUUUUUUCCAAAAGUAUAGAUUUCCAUACCUGACAACUAAAAAAGUGGCUGUGACUCUACAUCACAUGAAAUACAAGUAAGUAAACAGGGAACUUAGUUUAUGUUUAAGUCGUCACUAGCACGUUUGUCUGUUAGGUUUGGUCUCAAUCUUCACUUCCAUAUGUCUAUUUAUUUCAGUUCAUUCCUCAAUUUCACCAAAGGGGAAGAAUAUUUGGUUACAUGUAUUGAAAUAAUGCUUUGUCUCAAACUAAGGAUGCUUUGUUUCAGACGUAGAAACAAAAUAGAGAGUGAGUACCGGUAAGCUACUUAAAUAAGUGGCAAAACAUUUAAAGAGUUGACUAUAAGAGACGACAACUGGCCAGAGCAUCCUUCAACUUCAAGACAAGUUCACUUGAAUGAAGAAGAAUUGUCAUUAACAUAACUGAAAAUAUUAAUUCAAAGUUUUGCUAUAUGAAACUCAAACAUCUGUCAGCAGAUUUCUUGUCUUUACCUCACAGAACAGCACUUUAAAGUUGGAACGUGGAUUGUUAUUGUGCUUUGGAUGGGAUCCUUUAGGGCUCUCAUAGACUAGUAUUACCUUUUUGUCAUAUUUUUUCUGGACUUUUGAUGUUAUUGAGCAGAUCUUUGUUAUUAGCUAUGAUUAUGUGACCUAGUAUUCACUAUAUUUACUGUAGGAUAUACUAAAAACAAUUUAGUUCUUUUAAAAAUAGCCAUUUUAAAGACUACUGUUUAGUGGUAUCCUCUAAGAAUCUGCUGCCCUCGUUAAUAAUUCUCCUCCUUUAGUUGCUAUUUAUAGAUAAGGCUCAUUGUUUUAGCUUCUCCAUGAAGGCUGGAUGCUGCAGCUGACCGGUGGAGGAAAGAACCUCCUUUCCUCCACCGGUCAGCUCCUUGGGUACCAUGCCAGCUCCCUCCUCAUGUGUGCAGGAACGCUCCUCCCGCUCCGCGCAGCCCAUCAGUCAUCCAGCUGCUGUGUGACCUGCUCUGACGGCUCCUGUGUCAACCGAACCAGCUGAGCGGCGUGAGCCUGUCGAGCGAGGUUCUGACUAUGUGGCUUCAGAGACAAGCGGCCGCUGGAUGAGUCAGCGGCGGCUCGCGCUCAGCCUCCUCGCAGAUCUCAUUGAUAGAAUGAAGUCAGGUCUCUGCGCUGCUGUGUACCAGACAGACGGGGAGCUUCGGUCGUCAAAUAUCCGGUUCGUGCAUCGCGGGGGACCGCCACGGAGACGCGGGGGACGGUGUCGGAGCUAAUUCCUGCUCAUUUCGCUGAUGAGGGCUGGAUCUCUGUCAUUGGUUCCGCUUCGCAGCUCAGAAGAUGCUGGACCAGCUUCUCUCCCGGUGCUGACAGCUCGACGCCGCCGUUGGUGCAUUGUGGGAAAUGUAGUCAAAUGUAGUGGGUAGAUUUUGACACCAAACCAGUCAGUUUUUCUAAUCACACUUACAAAAAACGUUCUUAAAUACACUUUAAAAGUCUCGAUGUGUGUUAGGAUAGUAAAAAAAAAUCAACUUAAAACUAGUUUGAAUAAACAAAAUGAGUUUUUGGAAUUUAUGAUAAUGUGGCAAAACGUCUUUAUACUAAAUAUUAAUACCAUUAAACCAGAAAUAAGCCUAAGUAACAACAUGAAAUUGUGUCUUCUUUGCUUUCAAUUGUUCCAAUAAAGUCACAAUUGAUCAUGAAAAGUUUGACAUACUGUAAAUAUGUACAGGUAUCCCUUUUUUCUUUUUUUCUUAAGUAUCAUUGUUAUUCUGAUUGCUUGAAACAAACCAAAGCAAAAAUGGCUGUCAGAUUACAUUUUAUGACCUAAAUGUUUACUUAUUGUCUUCGGAUAUUUUGUUUUUACUUUCUGUAAUGUACACCUGAAUUUCACAAUAAAAUUUGCUUCCAGACA